UUUCUAUAUUGCUCUUAUUUCACAUUUCACUCUAUAUAUUUAUGGAUCUGUAUGUUUGUGAUUCAAUGUUGAAGUAUAUAGACAGAGAUUAUAUUUUGGUUUGAUUUAUUAGUUUGUUAACUUUUAUGUCUGUAAACUAUUUGAUAAAAUACUCCAAUGAAAAAUACAAACAUAAUGAUUCAUAAGUUCAUUAGAAUUGGAAGAAUUGACAUGUGAUAGACUAUAGAUAAGUAUUGUAUGUUGCUCUUAUUUCACAUUUCACUCUAUAUAUUCAUGGAUCUAUGUGUUUGUGAUUCAAUUUUGAAGUAUAUGGACAGAGAUUACAUUUUGGUUUGAUUUAUUAGUUUGUUAAUUUUUAUAUCUGUAAACUGUUUGAUAAAAUGCUCCAAUAAAAAAAUGUAAAGAUACUGAUUCAUAAAGGUUCCAAUGUUAACUUUGUUAGUUUUAUGUAUAAAUUUUGUUUUUAGCUGAUUUUAGCUUG